rnacentral:rRNA from 1 species
UCCGUAGGUGAACCUGCGGAAGGAUCAUUACUGAAAUGUAACAACUUCUAUUGAAAGGUUCCAGAGUAGGCGCUACAACGCCGAAAUGACCUUCUCACCCUUGUGUACUCACUAUGUUGCUUUGGCGGGUCGACCUGGUUCCGACCCAGGCGGCCGGCGCCCCCAGCCUUAACUGGCCAGGACGCCCGGCUAAGUGCCCGCCAGUAUACAAAACUCAAGAAUUCAUUUUGUGAAGUCCUGAUAUAUCAUUUAAUUGAUUAAAACUUUCAACAACGGAUCUCUUGGUUCUGGCAUCGAUGAAGAACGCAGCGAAAUGCGAUAAGUAAUGUGAAUUGCAGAAUUCAGUGAAUCAUCGAAUCUUUGAACGCACAUUGCGCCCUCUGGUAUUCCGGAGGGCAUGCCUGUUCGAGCGUCAUUUCAACCCUCAAGCUCUGCUUGGUAUUGGGCAACGUCCGCUGCCGGACGUGCCUUGAAGACCUCGGCGACGGCGUCCUAGCCUCGAGCGUAGUAGUAAAAUAUCUCGCUUUGGAGUGCUGGGUGACGGCCGCCGGACAAUCGACCUUCGGUCUAUUUUUCCAAGGUUGACCUCGGAUCAGGUAGGGAUACCCGCUGAACUUAAGCAUAUCAAUAAGCGGAGGA